AAAAGUGGACUAAGGCAACUCGUUAAAAGUUGUUUUGCAAACACCAGUCUGGUUUUUCUCUUUGAGUGUUUGAGUUUUGUUUUUAUAAGCAAAAGCUCUUUAACUGCCACCAGUGUUCUGCAUCUCAGGAACUUUUAUUGCUUUGGCAUUAACCUGAUUAUGGACAGUAACAUUUACUGGCUCCCAGCUGAUCCAUGUAGGAUAACUCCUGUUGGCUACUGAGGGUGGUGAGAGGAGAGGAACACACAGAAGGCCAGUGAGCAUUAUUCUGGAGACAGCUCUGCUUACUAGGCAGAUUUUUUUAAAACAUUUUUUCCCUGUUUUGCCACUUUUUCUUUGCCAGAGCAGAGGGUGACGUGACCAAUGGACAUCUGAACAUGCUGGUCAUUUUUUUUUUCUGCUGGUGCACAACUUCCCCCCAUUCUCUCUCUUAACUCAUGAGUGCUCUCUCUCUGCUGUUGUAGCCUGUUCAGUGUGAUGAAGUUGUGGCAGGCACAGUGCUCACCCACCUCCUGCACCUCAAACCUGCCUGGAGAUUUCUCAGUGCUAAAGAACUGCAGUAGCACUUACCCAGUUCCAGCUGCUCUGUUUGAACUCUGUGGAGGUUUGAGGAGGAGCAGCUGGUGUUCCUGAGACUGGCAAAGCGUGAGGUCAGUGUGGAAUCAAGGAAGGUGAAUUUUACCUCUGCUCAGAGCUGAGUACCCAGGAAGAGGGCUCUGCUCAGCAGAGUGUUUCAGUUUGCUUUACAGGUCUGAUUAGGCACAUUGCAGUUAAAUCUCUGCCCUCAUUUUUUCAUACCAUGUGGAAUUUGGGGGAGUUCUGCCACUUCAGCCAUUUCUUCUGACCCUUCUCUUUGCUGAUUUUUAGCCAUAGUUCUUAAGAAAAACCUAACUGCCUCCAGUGGUCCUCUCUCUGUAUCCCUUACUUUUUCAGCUGAAGUUGGCAGUCUGUUCAAAUUUAUUGGGUUUUUUCCCACAGAAGAACAUUCUAAUAUUUUAUGGGAGUUCUUUUGUUCGCAUCAUUCAGCAAAUAAGCACUGAAAUUCUUCCAUUUCAGCCCAGUGAUUAACUACAACUUCACAUGCAGUGGCUUUUGAAGCCAUCUCGGUGUUCGAUGCCCUGUUAAAAAACAACCCAGACCUUUUUGGUUUUCUUUUAAGAAAAUCUCUCUCUUUCCUUUUUUUUUUUUCUUUUUUUUUUUCCUCUGUUCUGAAAGUUUUAUUUUUCAGACUUUGCUUUAGUGUUUCUGAAACGUCUCUCUCUUGUUCUAUGUCGUCAUGGUUGAGCUUGUUUCACUGCACCGUUAAAGCAGAGUGUACAUUCUGACUGCUACAUUUAUAUAUAUCUUGAAGCUUAAUGUAUAUAUGAGUAGUUUGCCAUGGGAUAACACAGUGUAAACAGAGUAGAAACCCAGAAAUCGUGACUUCUGUGUUCUCUCCAUUUGAGUAUUUUGUAAUUUUUUUGAAAUAUUUGUGGACAUAAAUAAAACCAAGCUACACUACA
rnacentral:lncRNA from 1 species